AAGGAAAAGAUUUAUUUUCUUUUAGGUGAAUAUCAAGCUCAUAGCUGGAGUCAGGACGUGGUUAGCUUAGCUUAGCAUAAAGGCUGAAAACAGAGGGAAACUGUUAGCUUGAGGUCUGCUCUUCCUGGUUUAGUUUUGGUAGUAGUGUAGUGUAAGUCAGAUAGAAAAAAUAAUCUGCAAUACCCCUGAAGUUUACAUCAGAAAUGACAGAGAGAUGUGAAGAGCUGCAGUCAGACAGGAAGCCUGAGGCGUCUCAUGUUUGCUUUUCUUUCUCUUUUUUUUCCAGGCAGUAAUAAGUCAAGAUGUGUUCAGCUCUGAGACCCAGAGGGAGAAGACUGAGAAAAAAAAGACAGGGAGGAUUAAGGAAGGAAAACAAUAUCCCAACAUACCUGAAGCUGCUGUCUCACAGUCUGAGAGAAAACACAUCAAAUAUGAUUUUCUGCAACAAGAAACCAAGUAGUGUGUCGCUCCAGUCCAGUCCUGAGUUCAUGAUGCAUUGUGAGAUCUUGAUGACCUCUGACCCUGGGGACAAGAAAAGAAGAUAGGACGUGGAGGACGUACUCUGGGCUGGCCCCGCCCCCUGGCACCACACUGGAUCGAGCCAUCAUCACCAGAGCCUCGACUGGAUGAACAAUGUAUCAAUCAAAAAAUAACCAAGAGGUAAUCAUGAUUAUUGUAA